rnacentral:rRNA from 1 species
AUUGAACGCUGGCGGCAGGCCUAACACAUGCAAGUCGAGCGGAUGAAGGGAGCUUGCUCCUGGAUUCAGCGGCGGACGGGUGAGUAAUGCCUAGGAAUCUGCCUGGUAGUGGGGGAUAACGUCCGGAAACGGGCGCUAAUACCGCAUACGUCCUGAGGGAGAAAGUGGGGGAUCUUCGGACCUCACGCUAUCAGAUGAGCCUAGGUCGGAUUAGCAAGUUGGUGGGGUAAAGGCCUACCAAGGCGACGAUCCGUAACUGGUCUGAGAGGAUGAUCAGUCACACUGGAACUGAGACACGGUCCAGACUCCUACGGGAGGCAGCAGUGGGGAAUAUUGGACGAUGGGCGAAAGCCUGAUCCAGCCAUGCCGCGUGUUUGAAGAAGGUCUUCUGAUUGUAAAGCACUUUAAGUUGGGAGGAAGGGCAGUAAGUUAAUACCUUGCUGUUUUGACGUUACCAACAGAAUAAGCACCGGCUAACUUCGUG